UCCGGGGUUCGGACCGUAUAAUUGAUUCAAAAGUUGGAGCAGAAUGGUUUUGGGAAAGCCAGCCAAAGAGAGUGAAAGCCUCGUAAGCGAACAAUGAUUGACAUGACGGGAUCCAGAGUACCACGAGACACGAGAAACCUUGUGGGAAUAUGCGGGGACCACCCCGUAAGGCUAAAUACUACUUAGUGACCGAUAGCGCAUAGUAC
rfam:Hespellia stercorisuis DSM 15480 genome assembly, contig: EJ65DRAFT_NODE_3_len_144_cov_70_125000.159